ACUCCACAUGAGAGGCUGCUGGGGAAAUGAGGAAGCCCUGGCUAAGGACUGUCAUGGUAUGGAUACAGAGAAGAAAUGGAGCAGAAAGUGGCAAAAGAGGCAGGAUCUGCUGCCUGGCACUGGAUGAAGAACAGGUUUAGCAGCAUCAGACUGAAGAUCUGCCCGUUACUCUCACCCCUGCUGAGUUGCUGCAACCGCAACUGAGGCCCCACCGAAAAGCUGUUGCAGAAGCACGUGGUCAAGGACAGCCCUCACCAUGGGCACUUCAUGUUCAAAGGAGGGAGGAUGAGUUGAUGAAAUGAGUUAACUACAGUCCUGAAAGAGUUUCAGAUUUCUGACUGGCCCUGUGGAUGCAACUCUAUGCAAUCAGUUCUGGUGUUAUGUAUGAGAAAACUAAGAAACAGGCUUGCAAAUAAAUUGAGGCAACAAAUGCACAGAGCAUUAAGGUGAGUAUUAUAGGCUCUGAGGCAGAUGCAAUGAACUUAAUCUGAAAAAGUAUGGUGGUCACUAGUUGUAAAACAUUUUCUUGAGCUAGUAUAAUAAAAAUACUAUGGAUUAAGCACAUGAAUGCAAGUACAUCUUGCAGGGAA